UACCAGCUCUCCGAGUAGUGUGGAUGUUUAUUGGGCCUAAAGCAUCCGUAGCUUGCUAAGCAAGUCCCCUGUUAAAUCCACCGAUUCAAUCGGUGGAUUGCGGGGGAUACUGUUUGGCUAGGGGACGGGAGAGGCCGACGGUAUUUCCGGGGUAGGGGUGAAAUCCUAUAAUCCCGGGAAGACCACCAGUGGCGAAGGCUGUCUGCUAGAACGUGCCCGACGGUGAGGGAUGAAAGCUGGGGGAGCGAACCGGAUUAGAUACCCGGGUAGUCCCAGCUGUAAACGAUGCAGGCUAGGUGUUUGGACGGCCACGUGCCGUUCUAGUGCCGCAGGGAAGCCGUUAAGCCUGCCGCCUGGGGAGUACGGCCGCAAGGCUGAAACUUAAGGAAUUGGCGGGGAGCACCACAAGGGUGAAGCUUGCGGUUU
rnacentral:rRNA from 1 species